rnacentral:rRNA from 1 species
GAUGAACGCUGGCGGCGUGCCUAAUACAUGCAAGUCGAGCGAACGGACGAGAAGCUUGCUUCUCUGAUGUUAGCGGCGGACGGGUGAGUAACACGUGGAUAACCUACCUAUAAGACUGGGAUAACUUCGGGAAACCGGAGCUAAUACCGGAUAAUAUUUUGAACCGCAUGGUUCAAAAGUAAAAGACGGUCUUGCUGUCACUUAUAGAUGGAUCCGCGCUGCAUUAGCUAGUUGGUAAGGUAACGGCUUACCAAGGCAACGAUGCAUAGCCGACCUGAGAGGGUGAGCGGCCACACUGGAACUGAGACAUGGUCCAGACUCCUACGGGAGGCAGCAGUAGGGAAACUUCCGCAAUGGGCGAAAGCCUGACGGAGCAAAGCAGCGUGAGUGAUGAAGGUCUUCGGAUCGUAAAACUCUGUUAUUAGGGAAGAACAUAUGUGUAAGUAACUGUGCACAUCUUGACGGUACCUAAUCAGAAAGCCACGGCUAACUACGUG